rnacentral:rRNA from 1 species
UACAGAGGGUGCGAGCGUUAAUCGGAGUUACUGGGCGUAAAGGGCGCGUAGGCGGUUAUAUAAGUGAGAUGUGAAAUCCCUGGCUUAACCUAGGAACUGCAUCUCAUACUGUAUGACUGGAGUAUUGUAGAGGGUAGUGGAAUUCCGGUGUAGCGGUGAAAUGCGUAGAGAUCGGAAGGAACACCAGUGGCGAAGGCGGCUACCUGGACAAAUACUGACGCUGAGGCGCGAGAGCGUGGGGAGCAAACAGG